rnacentral:rRNA from 1 species
AGAGUUUGAUUAUGGCUCAGGAUGAACGCUAGCUACAGGCCUAACACAUGCAAGUCGAGGGGUAGCGUGAGGGAAGCUUGCUUCCCUGACGACGACCGGCGAAUGGGUGAGUCACGCGUGUCCAACCUGCCCCGUGCCCGGGGAUAGCCCUUGGAAAUGAGGAUUAAGACCCGAUAUGUGGCGCUUCCGCAUGGCGGCGCCAUAAAGCAGGCACGGGAUGGGGACGCGUCGGAUUAGCUUGACGGCGGGGCAACGGCCCACCGUGGCGACGAUCCGCAGGGGUUCUGAGAGGAAGGUCCCCCACACUGGCACUGAGACACGGGCCAGACUCCUACGGGAGGCAGCAGUGAGGAAUAUUGGUCAAUGGGCGGGAGCCUGAACCAGCCAAAGUAGCGUGCAGGACGACGGCCCUACGGGUUGUAAACUGCUUUUCCGGGAGGAUAAAGUGAGCCACGCGUGGUUCAUUGCAGGUAUCCCGGGAAUAAGGACCGGCUAAUUCCGUGCCAGCCGCUGC